UGGUACUUGUAGGGGUUAAAGAUAUAGAGAUACUUUCUGUGUGCAAAAUAUUUGCUUGCUCUGCGCGUAAGCGCCUUCAAUUAGCAGCUAGCAAUGUGAUACUUGGCAAAUCGAAUCGAAUUCUGAAAUCGAGAGCGUGAUUAAGUUUCCACUGGAAUUGACAUAUUAACUAGAUCUAUUAGCAUAGGGCUAACAAUUCCCAGCUCACACAUUAAUACGUAUACGUACACGUACGUGUAUCUAUCCCAUUUUUUCCACACAAAGCCCCAUUGAAUCCUACCCGAUCAUCUCAGUUUUGGUCGGUUAGCAGUCGCUGCAUGUUAAUCAAUUUAUUUAAACGGCAAACAAAUAAAGCAGCACGAAAAAUAUCACUGCGUGUCAUGUGGACACUGACCAAGGUACGAAUUUUGGCAAAAACCAAAAAGCUGAGGCCGGCUCGGAAUAUUUCCAAUGGCCUUUCUUACUCAAACAUGGCUUAAACUCCACUGCGCACAGUGAAAAUUGCUCAUUAAGGCCAUUUGAAACGGAGAUUUCUCUGAAAAAUAUACCUUAUAUUAAUGCUACAAUCAUAUCAUUGGGCAAAUGGGAAAGCGCGCGAUAUAUUUGAAUUAAAAUAUAAAUUGGCGAACGUGCGAGCGGAACAUAAAGAUUUUUUAUUAUAUGACUAAAGCUGUAGAUGGAUAGCAUUUAACCAGAUCACAUACCUCGAACUUCAUCUUUAUAUGCAUGGUGGAGGCGAUCCCACCGUCGUUUAAAUCAAUGGUUCGCAACUGGCAUUGGUAAUAGAUUUAUAUUGUAUAUUUGAAAUAUAUAUAUAUAUUUAUAUAGA